UACGUAGGGGGCAAGCGUUGUCCGGAAUCAUUGGGCGUAAAGAGCGUGUAGGCGGCCCGAUAAGUCCGCCGUGAAAGUCCAGGGCUCAACCCUGGAAUGCCGGUGGAAACUGUCGGGCUGGAGUCCGGAAGAGGCGAGUGGAAUUCCUGGUGUAGCGGUGAAAUGCGCAGAUAUUGCUCGGAAGGCCGGAGCCGAAGGGGCCCUACUGGUACGUAACUGACGCUGAGGCACGAAAGCGUGGGGAGCAAACAGG
rnacentral:rRNA from 1 species